rnacentral:rRNA from 1 species
GAUGAACGCUGGCGGCGUGCCUAAUACAUGCAAGUCGAACGAAAAGACGAGGAGCUUGCUCCUCUGACGUUAGCGGCGGACGGGUGAGUAACAUGUGGAUAACCCACCUAUAAGACUGGGAUAACUACGGGAAACCGGAGCUAAUACCGGAUAAGAUAUUGAACCGCAUGGUUCAAUAGAGAAAGUCGGUUGUGCUGUAACUUAUAGCUGUAUCCGCGCCGCAUUAGCUAGUUGGUAAGGUAACGGCUUACGAAGGCAACGAUGCGUAGCCGACCUGAGAGGGUGAUGGGCCACACUGGAGGUGAGACGCGGUCCAGGCUCCUACGGGAGGCAGCAGUAGCGAAUCGUCGGCAAUGGGCGAAAGCCUGACGGAGCGACGGCGCGUGAGUGAUGAAGGUCCUCGGAUCGGAAAACUCUGUUAUUAGGGAAGAACGAAUGUGUAAGUAACUAAGCACGUCGUGACGGUACCUGAUCAGGAAGCAACGGCUAACUACGUG